rnacentral:rRNA from 1 species
GAUGAACGCUGGCGGCGUGCCUAAUACAUGCAAGUCGAGCGAACAGACGAGGAGCUUUCUCCUCUGACGUUAGCGGCGGACGGGUGAGUAACACGUGGAUAACCUACCUAUAAGACUGGGAUAACUUCAGGAAACCGGAGCUAAUACCGGAUAAUAUAUUGAACCGCAUGGUUCAAUAGUGAAAGACGGUUUUGCUGUCACUUAUAGAUGGAUCCGCGCCGCAUUAGCUAGUUGGUAAGGUAACGGCUUACCAAGGCAACGAUGCGUAGCCGACCUGAGAGGGUGAUCGGCCACACUGGAACUGAGACACGGUCCAGACUCCUACGGGAGGCAGCAGUAGGGAAUAUUCCGCAAUGGGCGAAAGCCUGACGGAGCAACGCCGCGUGAGUGAUGAAGGUCUUCGGAUCGUAAAACUCUGUCAGUAGGGAAGAACAAAUGUGUAAGUAACUAUGCACGUCUUGACGGUACCUAAUCAGAAAGCCACGGCUAACUACGUG